rnacentral:misc_RNA from 1 species
UCCGGUUUGUCACCGGCAGUCUCAUUAGAGUGCCCUUUCGUAGCAACUAAUGACAAGGGUUGCGCUCGUUGCGGGACUUAACCCAACAUCUCACGACACGAGCUGACGACAACCAUGCAGCACCUGUGCAUCACCCUCGAAGGAGCCGACUUUCAUCGGGUUGCAGAUGCAUGUCAAACCUGGGUAAGGUUCUUCGCGUUGCGUCGAAUUAAACCACACGCUCCGCUGCUUGUGCGGGCCCCCGUCAAUUCCUUUGAGUUUUAAGCUUGCGCUCGUACUCCCCAGGCGGCCAGCUUACCGCGUGUGCUUAGGCACCCAGGGCCCUGAACGGGCCCCAGACACCGAGCUGGCAUCGUUUACGGCGUGGACUAC